rnacentral:rRNA from 1 species
GGGGGGGGGGGGGGGGGGGGGGGGGGGAGGGGGGGCGGGCGGGCGGGCGAGGGGCUUGGGUCUCUGGUGUUAGCGGCGGACGGGUGGGUAACACGUGGAUAACCUACCUAUCAGACUGGGGUAACUUCGGGAAACCGGAGCUAAUACCGGAUAAUAUUUUGCACCGCAUGGUUCAAAAGUUAAAGACGUUCUUGCUGUCACUUAUAGAUGUAUCCGCGCUGCAUUAGCUAGUUGGUAAGGUAACGGCUUACCAAGGCAACGAUGCAUAGCCGACCUGAGAGGGUGAUCGGCCAAACUGGAACUGAGACACGGUCCAGACGCCUACGGGAGGCAGCAGUAGGGAAUCUUCCGCAAUGGGCGAAAGCCUGACGGAGCAACGCCGCGUGAGUGAUGAAGGUCUUCGGAUCGUAAAACUCUGUUAUUAGGGAAGAACAUAUGUGUAAGUAACUGUGCACAUCUUGACGGUACCUAAUCAGAAAGCCACGGCUAACUACGUG